rnacentral:rRNA from 1 species
CCUCUUCCCAUUCCGAACAGAGAAGUUAAGCCCGCCUGCGCCGAUGGUACUGCAAUGCAAUGCGGGAGAGUAGGACACCGCCUUCU